AUGAAAACAAAAAUAGAUGUGAGCUGUCAGAUGAAGUGAAAAGGUUUUUAGAAUCACAUUUCUGAAUUGGACUCAACUGAAAACCAUGAAAUGAUUUAAAAACCAUCUACACCAGAUAAAAGCAGAUCAUCUUGUUAUAUUACAUUUUGGAUUCUCCAGAAGACAAAAUGGGUGUGGGAUUGGCGAUAGCAGUUUUGCUGGUGCUGACAGCACCAAGGGAAGAUUUUGUGACAUCAAUGGCACAGGCAACAACCACAGUGGCCCUAAAAACCACAACUGGUGGAACAAAAGCAGCAGUCAGUCCAACAACAACUAUUUCUAUGACUGAUGAAGGUUGCUCACCAUCUGUGACUCUCAAAGCAACUUUAGAAGAACCAUUUGUUGAAGAAUUCACGAAUAGAACCAGUCCAAGAUUCAAGACUCUCGAGGCAGUAACGAUUCACACCUGCGAUGGCAUCUACGUGGCUCGAUCUGGCUUCCUCUUCAUCCGCACUCUGGUCAUAGGGUUUAGCCCAGCUACAGCCAACUGUAGAACAAGUAAUACUGCAGCAGAGGUGAGGCUUCUUUUCAAUCGCUCUGUGCCAUCUGCACUACUUCCAACUUCUGAUGACGUGGCACAAACCUUGGUGGACGCCAUCCUUGAUCCCAACAGUACCCUCAAUGUCAGCAUUGUUGUCAACUCUGUCCAAGUACUUGGAGCUACAUUCCCUGGAGCAACAGCAACUGCUGGAUCAACAGCAACGGGCGCAUCGACAGCAACUGGUAGAACAGCAGCAGCAGCAGUCAAUGCAACAACAAGUGUUCCUUCUAUUACUGAGGUUCCUCCACCGUCGGUGGAUCUGCGAGCAACACUGGAAGAAGCGUUUGUACCACAAUUCAUGAACAGCAGCAGUGAAGAAUUCAGGAGGCUUGAGGCAACAGUCACACGAUUGUGCGACAGCAUCUACAUGGCUCGAUUUGGCUUCCUCU
ensembl:lncRNA